UGCCCAGACUCCUACGGGAGGCAGCAGUGAGGAAUAUUGGUCAAUGGUCGGGAGACUGAACCAGCCAAGCCGCGUGAGGGAUGAAGGUACAGAGUAUCGUAAACCUCUUUUGUCAGGGAACAAAGGCGGGGACGUGUCCCCGGAUGAGUGUACCUGAAGAAAAAGCAUCGGCUAACUCCGUGCCAGCAGCCGCGGUAAUACGGAGGAUGCGAGCGUUAUCCGGAUUUAUUGGGUUUAAAGGGUGCGUAGGCGGACGCUUAAGUCGGCGGUAAAAUUGCGGGGCUCAACCUCGUCGAGCCGUUGAAACUGGCUUGCUAGAGUGGGCGAGAAGUAUGCGGAAUGCGUGGUGUAGCGGUGAAAUGCAUAGAUAUCACGCAGAACUCCGAUUGCGAAGGCAGCAUACCGGCGCCCAACUGACGCUCAGGCACGAAAGCGUGGGCAUCGAACAGGAUUAGAUACCCCAGUAG
rnacentral:rRNA from 1 species